rnacentral:lncRNA from 10 species
AAAAGCAGGAGGGGCCAGAGGGUUGGGUCUCCGCUGGGAAAACAUCCCUGGCCUACUCAUCAGAGCCUCUGGAAGUGGAUUGGUAUCCCCUCUGCUCCCAGGAAUCCAGUAAAAGUAGCAUCUCUUCCUCAAAGAUGAGCCAGCCGUCAUUUGAAGAGGAGGAAAGACUGGAUUGGGGAAGAAUCUGGGGCAAAAUGAAGCCAAAUUGAGAACGAGGAGAAAAGAAGAUGCUAAGGCCGCAGAUAAGGAGGUCUUGAGUGUUACAGCUCUUUUUGAAUUUGUCUAGCAUGCUUUCUGCUUUUUACUGGAAAGUGCCCCCCCCCAAAAAAAUAAAAACGAAUAAAUAAAAAAGA